AGCGUAGGUUGACAUAUAAGUCAGCUGUGAAAGUUUACGGCUCAACCGUGAAAUUGCAGUUGAUACUGUAUGUCUUGAGUGUACAAGAGGUGGGCGGAAUUCGUGGUGUAGCGGUGAAAUGCUUAGAUAUCACGAAGAACUCCAAUUGCGAGGGCAGCUCACUGGGGUACAACUGACACUGAGGCUCGAAAGUGUGGGUAUCAAACAG
rnacentral:rRNA from 1 species